ensembl:lncRNA
AGUGCGGCGCGGCGGGCACGGGGAGAGCGCUGCGCCUUGGAGGGCUGCCCGCAACCACGUCGGGACCCACAACAAAGUUAAAACGCUGCGAUUCACGCACCUUACCGGCUUUCCUCUGCGUCUCCUCGGGCGCGGGAUGCAAAGUGGCACAGUGGCGGGCUGGGGGGCCCCCCGGGAGGAGACUGGAGAUGGGUUUGGUGGCUCGCCUUUUUCACUCUACGCGCCUCCACGGACUGAGCCGCGUCCCUCGGCACCCCCAGCAUUUCCCAGAGAGCAACACCACCACCCGGAGAUCAAUGACCAGCCUGUUUAUUCUUCACGCGCCUGGAAGGGCAACAGAACUUCCAACCAUUUAUGGUUAUUGAAACCACAUGGCCUUAAGACUAACCCAUGAUCAUUAUAGAGCAACAGCAUAGCUGAUCAAAAACCUCCAGUGGAAUGUUUGUUUGUGUUGGGC